GGUGAACGCUGGCGGCGUGCUUAACACAUGCAAGUCGAACGAUGAAACCUAGCUUGCUAGGUCGAUUAGUGGCGAACGGGUGAGUAACACGUGACUAACCUGCCCCUUUCUCUGGGAUAACGCUCCGAAAGGAGCGCUAAUACCGGAUACUCACACCGAGGCACAUGCAUUGGUGUGGAAAGUUUUUCGGAAAGGGAUGGAGUCGCGGCCUAUCAGCUUGUUGGUGCGGUAACGGCUCACCAAGGCGACGACGGGUAGCAGGCCUGAGGGGGCGACCGGCCACACUGGUACUGAGACACGGCCCAGACUCCUACGGGAGGCAGCAGUGGGGAAUAUUGCACAAUGGGCGCAAGCCUGAUGCAGCGACGCCGCGUGAGGGAUGAAGGUCUUCGGAUUGUAAACCUCUUUCAGUAGGGACGAAGCGAAAGUGACGGUACCUAAAGAAGAAGCACCGGCUAACUACGUGCCAGCCGCCGCAGUAA
rnacentral:rRNA from 1 species